UACGUAGGUGGCAAGCGUUGUCCGGAAUUAUUGGGCGUAAAGCGCGCGCAGGUGGUUCCUUAAGUCUGAUGUGAAAGCCCCCGGCUCAACCGGGGAGGGUCAUUGGAAACUGGGGAACUUGAGUGCAGAAGAGGAAAGCGGAAUUCCACGUGUAGCGGUGAAAUGCGUAGAGAUGUGGAGGAACACCAGUGGCGAAGGCGGCUUUCUGGUCUGUAACUGACGCUGAGGCGCGAAAGCGUGGGGAGCAAACAGG
rnacentral:rRNA from 1 species